rnacentral:rRNA from 1 species
UACGAAGGGGGCUAGCGUUGUUCGGAAUUACUGGGCGUAAAGCGCACGUAGGCGGAUAUUUAAGUCAGGGGUGAAAUCCCGGGGCUCAACCCCGGAACUGCCUUUGAUACUGGGUAUCUCGAGUCCGAGAGAGGUGAGUGGAAUUCCGAGUGUAGAGGUGAAAUUCGUAGAUAUUCGGAGGAACACCAGUGGCGAAGGCGGCUCACUGGCUCGGUACUGACGCUGAUGCGCGGAAGCGUGGGGAGCAAACGGG